UACGAGGCUGUGAUUUUGAGAAAUAACUAUUUUAUGAGGGAUCAAUUAUCUUUUGUGAUUAUAAACACCAAUGGAUCCUUCUGAGCCUAA